AUCGUUCUAGGCCGGGGAUUAGGAGGGAUUGCUAAAUCACUUGGAAACUGACUUGAAAACGUAAAAACAAAGUUUAAAACACUAAACUAGACUCAAAGAAUGCAAAACUAUACUUUAAAACACUAAAACAAACCAAAAGACUCAAAACAGCACCUAAACACUCAAAACUGCCUUAAAAACACAAUCUGGGCAGUUUUGAACACUAAGGAAGAAUUUGAACGAAAAUAUGUUAUAACUUGACUCAAGACACUUAAAAACACAAACUAAAUUGAUUUCUAACUAAUAUGACUCAACAAAAUAAAGGGGGAUUGAUUUUAG
rnacentral:lncRNA from 1 species